AGAGAUACAGCUCAGUGGUGAAGUGCUUGUCUAACAUCCAAAAGGCCCUGGGUUCAAUCCCCAGUACUGUUA
rnacentral:tRNA from 1 species